rnacentral:rRNA from 1 species
GUGCUAAUCUGCGAUAAGCGUCGGUGAGGUGAUAUGAACCGUUAUAACCGGCGAUUUCCGAAUGGGGAAACCCAGUGUGUUUCGACACACUAUCAUUAACUGAAUCCAUAGGUUAAUGAGGCGAACCGGGGGAACUGAAACAUCUAAGUACCCCGAGGAAAAGAAAUCAACCGAGAUUCCCCCAGUAGCGGCGAGCGAACGGGGAGGAGCCCAGAGCCUGAAUCAGUGUGUGUGUUAGUGGAAGCGUCUGGAAAGGCGCGCGAUACAGGGUGACAGCCCCGUACACAAAAAUGCACAUGCUGUGAGCUCGAUGAGUAGGGCGGGACACGUGGUAUCCUGUCUGAAUAUGGGGGGACCAUCCUCCAAGGCUAAAUACUCCUGACUGACCGAUAGUGAACCAGUACCGUGAGGGAAAGGCGAAAAGAACCCCGGCGAGGGGAGUGAAAAAGAACCUGAAACCGUGUACGUACAAGCAGUGGGAGCCUCUUUAUGGGGUGACUGCGUACCUUUUGUAUAAUGGGUCAGCGACUUAUAUUCUGUAGCAAGGUUAACCGAAUAGGGGAGCCGAAGGGAAACCGAGUCUUAACUGGGCGUUAAGUUGCAGGGUAUAGACCCGAAACCCGGUGAUCUAGCCAUGGGCAGGUUGAAGGUUGGGUAACACUAACUGGAGGACCGAACCGACUAAUGUUGAAAAAUUAGCGGAUGACUUGUGGCUGGGGGUGAAAGGCCAAUCAAACCGGGAGAUAGCUGGUUCUCCCCGAAAGCUAUUUAGGUAGCGCCUCGUGAAUUCAUCUCCGGGGGUAGAGCACUGUUUCGGCAAGGGGGUCAUCCCGACUUACCAACCCGAUGCAAACUGCGAAUACCGGAGAAUGUUAUCACGGGAGACACACGGCGGGUGCUAACGUCCGUCGUGAAGAGGGAAACAACCCAGACCGCCAGCUAAGGUCCCAAAGUCAUGGUUAAGUGGGAAACGAUGUGGGAAGGCCCAGACAGCCAGGAUGUUGGCUUAGAAGCAGCCAUCAUUUAAAGAAAGCGUAAUAGCUCACUGGUCGAGUCGGCCUGCGCGGAAGAUGUAACGGGGCUAAACCAUGCACCGAAGCUGCGGCAGCGACACUAUGUGUUGUUGGGUAGGGGAGCGUUCUGUAAGCCUGUGAAGGUGUACUGUGAGGUAUGCUGGAGGUAUCAGAAGUGCGAAUGCUGACAUAAGUAACGAUAAAGCGGGUGAAAAGCCCGCUCGCCGGAAGACCAAGGGUUCCUGUCCAACGUUAAUCGGGGCAGGGUGAGUCGACCCCUAAGGCGAGGCCGAAAGGCGUAGUCGAUGGGAAACAGGUUAAUAUUCCUGUACUUGGUGUUACUGCGAAGGGGGGACGGAGAAGGCUAUGUUGGCCGGGCGACGGUUGUCCCGGUUUAAGCGUGUAGGCUGGUUUUCCAGGCAAAUCCGGAAAAUCAAGGCUGAGGCGUGAUGACGAGGCACUACGGUGCUGAAGCAACAAAUGCCCUGCUUCCAGGAAAAGCCUCUAAGCAUCAGGUAACAUCAAAUCGUACCCCAAACCGACACAGGUGGUCAGGUAGAGAAUACCAAGGCGCUUGAGAGAACUCGGGUGAAGGAACUAGGCAAAAUGGUGCCGUAACUUCGGGAGAAGGCACGCUGAUAUGUAGGUGAAGCGACUUGCUCGUGGAGCUGAAAUCAGUCGAAGAUACCAGCUGGCUGCAACUGUUUAUUAAAAACACAGCACUGUGCAAACACGAAAGUGGACGUAUACGGUGUGACGCCUGCCCGGUGCCGGAAGGUUAAUUGAUGGGGUUAGCGGUAACGCGAAGCUCUUGAUCGAAGCCCCGGUAAACGGCGGCCGUAACUAUAACGGUCCUAAGGUAGCGAAAUUCCUUGUCGGGUAAGUUCCGACCUGCACGAAUGGCGUAAUGAUGGCCAGGCUGUCUCCACCCGAGACUCAGUGAAAUUGAACUCGCUGUGAAGAUGCAGUGUACCCGCGGCAAGACGGAAAGACCCCGUGAACCUUUACUAUAGCUUGACACUGAACAUUGAGCCUUGAUGUGUAGGAUAGGUGGGAGGCUUUGAAGUGUGGACGCCAGUCUGCAUGGAGCCGGCCUUGAAAUACCACCCUUUAAUGUUUGAUGUUCUAACGUUGGCCCCUGAUCGGGGUUGCGGACAGUGUCUGGUGGGUAGUUUGACUGGGGCGGUCUCCUCCUAAAGAGUAACGGAGGAGCACGAAGGUUGGCUAAUCCUGGUCGGACAUCAGGAGGUUAGUGCAAUGGCAUAAGCCAGCUUGACUGCGAGCGUGACGGCGCGAGCAGGUGCGAAAGCAGGUCAUAGUGAUCCGGUGGUUCUGAAUGGAAGGGCCAUCGCUCAACGGAUAAAAGGUACUCCGGGGAUAACAGGCUGAUACCGCCCAAGAGUUCAUAUCGACGGCGGUGUUUGGCACCUCGAUGUCGGCUCAUCACAUCCUGGGGCUGAAGUAGGUCCCAAGGGUAUGGCUGUUCGCCAUUUAAAGUGGUACGCGAGCUGGGUUUAGAACGUCGUGAGACAGUUCGGUCCCUAUCUGCCGUGGGCGCUGGAGAACUGAGGGGGGCUGCUCCUAGUACGAGAGGACCGGAGUGGACGCAUCACUGGUGUUCGGGUUGUCAUGCCAAUGGCACUGCCCGGUAGCUAAAUGCGGAAGAGAUAAGUGCUGAAAGCAUCUAAGCACGAAACUUGCCCCGAGAUGAGUUCUCCCUGAGACUUAGAGUCUCCUGAAGGAACGUUGAAGACGACGACGUUGAUAGGCCGGGUGUGUAAGCGCAGCGAUGCGUUGAGCUAACCGGUACUAAUGAACCGUGAGGCUUAACCUUACAACGCCGAAG